GGGGGUUUCCCUUAGUACGGCGAGUGAGCGGCAAAGCUCACAUUUGAAAUCUGGUACCUUCGGUGCAGAGAGGUGAUUUGUAGAAGGUAACUUUGGGGCUGGUCUUUGAAAAUGUUCCUUGGAACAGGACGUCAUAGAGGGUGAGAAUCCCGUGUGGCGAGGAUCCCAGUUCUUUGUAAAGUGCUUUCGAAGAGUCGAGUUGUUUGGGAAUGCAGCUCUAAGUGGGUGGUAAAUUCCAUCUAAAGCUAAAUAUUGGCGAGAGACCGAUAGCGAACAAGUACAGUGAUGGAAAGAUGAAAAGAACUUUGAAAAGAGAGUGAAAAAGUACGUGAAAUUGUUGAAAGGGAAGGGCAUUUGAUCAGACAUGGUGUUUUGCGCCCUCUGCUCCUUGUGGGUGGGGGAAUCUCGCAGCUCACUGGGCCAGCAUCAGUUUUGGCGGCAGGAUAAAUCUGCAGGAAUGUAGCUUGCCUCGGUAAGUGUUAUAUCCUGUAGAAAUACUGCCAGCUGGGACUGAGGACUGCGACUUUACGUCAAGGAUGCUGGCAUAAUGGUUAUAUGCCGCCCGUCUUGAAAACACGGACCA
rnacentral:rRNA from 1 species